rnacentral:rRNA from 1 species
AUUGAACGCUGGCGGCAGGCCUAACACAUGCAAGUCGAACGAGUGGCGGACGGGUGAGUAAUGUCUGGGAAACUGCCCGAUGGAGGGGGAUAACUACUGGAAACGGUAGCUAAUACCGCAUACUAUCGGAUGUGCCCAGAUGGGAUUAGCUAGUAGGUGGGGUAAUGGCUCACCUAGGCGACGAUCCCUAGCUUGUCUGAGAGGAUGACCAGCCACACUGGAACUGAGACACGGGCCAGAGGCCUACGGGAGUGAGCAGUGGGGAUAAUUGCACAAUGGGCGCGAGCCUGAGGCAGCAAUGCCACGUGUAUGAAGAAGGCAUUCGGGUUGUAAAAUACUUUCAUCGAGAAUGCGUUACUCGCAGAAGAAGCACCGGCUAACUCCGUGCCAGCAGCCGCGGUAAUAC